AACGUAAUGCCCCAUGAUUAUGGAAAUGCUACGCACUAGUGAUGCAAUAUGUUAUGCUUAUCUAAAUGAUGAAUGCAUAAAACACACGUCUCCUUCAGAGACAACACCGGGGAGCUCCAGGAACUGUGCUGAGGAUCUCAUUACUAAGUCAAUUUCCACCCUGCUGGGGAAAGACAACCUUUGCUGGGGAUGACCUCUAUCGAACCCGGACUUGCUUGGCG
rnacentral:lncRNA from 1 species